AGCAAUCUCUUGUAAGCUGGAGACAGACCCUGAGCGAAGAAGCCGAUGUGAUUUCCGAUAUUUCUAACACCAAAUACUUCCAGGAUAACAAACCCAGAGGAAAUUGAAAAAUCCCGACUUCUGAAAUUGAAAACCUUAUUAAUGUUAGGAACAUAUCCAGCUAGAAUGUUCCGCGAGAGAUUUAGCAGUAAAUUUCCAAAAGGUGACAGAAAAAAUAAAAAUUAUAAUCUGAAAGUCAGCACCAAGUGAUUUUGACACAUGAUUAGAAAUAGAUCAUUAGUUUUGUUUUUAACGAAAGUAUAUUGUCAUUUUGGCAACAUUUUUUGAUUUCCAGAAAGAGGGAUAUAUAUUAUAUUCUUGGAGGAGAGCAUUUUAUAAUUUUUGGUUUGGAGAGUGCUAAAUUAACUCGAUGUUAGAGAUGGAGUUUAUGACUGAAAACGAAUAUAUCAGACAAUAUUUUGCAAUGUUAGAAGCGGAAUGUAAAGCCCGGGUUUUAUCCCAACCUGCACCGACUGAUGGGAAGUCUUACUGCGCCCCCAAACUCGACCAUUGGAUGGGAUGCUGGAACUACACUGAGGCAGGUACGAGGGCCACCGAACCCUGCCCGCCCAUACCUGGUUUUGACUAUUUGCAGAACGCCACCUUUGACUGUCGGGAAAACGGCACGUGGUACGUAAAUCCAGCCACGGGGCGGGAAUAUGCAGAUUACUCCGCGUGCUUUAACUUCGAAAACGCUAUCAAGGAAAUGGACAAAGACGUAAUUCACAUCUACGUCACCAUAGCGCUUUUCUGUCUUUCAUUUGUCAUGAUCUCCAUAUCGCUUGUCAUAUUUUUCAAAUUCAGACAACUUCGAUGUGACAGAAUCACCAUCCACAAAAACCUGUUCAUUUCCUACCUGUUGACCGACUUAUUUUACCUGGUGUACCUGUCGGUCAUUCAUUUUGCGGAAGACGUCGUUCUACACAACCCGGACUGGUGUCAAUUUCUUCACGUCAUCACACAAUACGCGAUCGUCUGCAACUUUGCCUGGAUGUUCUGCGAGGGACUAUAUCUCCACACAGUGAUGAUGAGCGCAUUCACUUCCGGAAAGUCUGUCAUUAUCGCAUGUCUCAUAAUUGGUUGGGGAGUUCCGGUUCCGUUAACGAUUAUCUACGGUGCGGUCAGAGCAUCACUGAAGGACAAUAUCAUAGCGUAUGUUAUGAUCUUUUAUUAACUUUACAAUAUGUGCGGAUCCAAAUCCUUUCUUUACAAAAAGGAAUGGGGUGUUGGAGCAGCGAGAGCAGUUUUCUGUGGAUAAUGUACGCCCCCGUGGUCCUAUCCAUGGCGAUAAACGUUGUGUUUGUCGUGAACAUAAUGAGGCUGCUCAUCACAAAACUCAGACAGAUACCGGAAGUCGCCCAGACCAGUUUCAUCUCUAUCCACAGGAAGGCCGUCCGAGCUACGGCCAUUUUGAUUCCUCUGCUAGGCCUACAGUUUCUCAUAUUCAUCAAGCGCCCAGAGGACAAAGAUUCGACAUUGUCGACAAUAUACCAAUAUGUAUUGGCAAUAUUUGUUCCUUUACAGGGUGCUUUUGUAUCCAUAAUGUACUGUUUUUGCAAUGGAGAGGUUCUUUCACUACUAAAACGAAAAUGGAAUCAACAUAACGCCAUGUUACCGGGGAAACGUAAGCGCGCGCAGUCUACUUCAGCCACACAAUACACGAUUGUUGACCCAAUGUCACAGGUGCAGACGUCUGUGACGUAAAUCUUCUGACGUCAGUCUGACAUUCUGCAGAAGGCAUUAGUGCUGAGAAACUGUUAUUAUACAUCUUCUUGUUUGUGUUUCACCGUUCUCUGUCUACAGAAAAAAAAAACUCGAUUUAACCAAUUUGAAACCAGAUCUGCGUUUAUAUCACUUUGUGUUCUCUGUUUAUUGACACUGACGUAGAUUGUUGAGCACUUUUGGAAAUAUAUACGUCCAAACUUCGCCGUCUCUAUCUUUCCGCAAGCGAAUGAAUACGCGGCUUCAAGUCGAAGUUUUGGCCUCAAAUGUAUAUACUUUUCUUCAAAGAAAUUGAUCUGAGGACAGAGUUAAGUGGGUUUUUAUAAAUGUUGGAAGCACAUACGUUUAGAUUUGUACAAUAUGUCUGGCUGUGACGAUGAAUGAUCUUGCCUGGUGAGAAUUUAAACUAUAGCUGGAUUUGGGUGAUUCUGAUGCUUUGUAAUGCAUACGUGAUUCAAUAGCAUGUCUACAUUACGACUGUGUGUCCAUUACUUACAUGUACAUGUACCUUGCUACACACAACGCAGAGGGCCUGAUAGAAAAUCCCGAUGAACGCUACAUCUCGCAAAUAAGUAAACGUACUUUUUGCAUAUACGAUAUUUUAAAACGACAGUCGAAAGGAUGAAAUAUAUAGUUUCUUAUCAUGUCCAAUGAAGAUUGUAUUACAAAUAUUUGCAUCAUGAUCGCCAUUCUUGUUCGUAUAAUUUUGAUGUUUUUGAUUUAUUGAUAUACAUGUAUUCAACGUUGCAAUAUCGUAUAAACCAGUUUCUUGGAUUUAGUUGUAGAUAAUUUAUAUUGUCUUUUAAUUGUAUUAUCAUGACUAAGUUGCAUAACAUAACUUUGUUGCAAUAGUACAAAUGUAUAAUUAUUAUUCAUAAAAAUAAUGAAGAUUUGUGUUUCAUUGUAUCAAUUGUGAAUCAUCGAGGUAACAUAUUUAAUUAAUAAAGAAUAUAUCUUUAACGU
rnacentral:misc_RNA from 1 species